GACGAACGCUGGCGGCGUGCUUAACACAUGCAAGUCGAGCGGUAAGGCCCUUUCGGGGGUACGACGAGCGGCGAACGGGUGAGUAACACGUGGGUGACCUGCCCUUAGCUCUGGGAUAAGCCUGGGAAACGUGGGUCUAAUACCGGAUAUGACUCCAUGACGCAUGUUGUGGGGUGGAAAGCCUUGUGCGGCUAGGGAUGGGCCUGCGGCCUAUCAGCUUGUU
rnacentral:rRNA from 1 species